GAUCCUGGCUCAGGAUGAACGCUAGCUACAGGCUUAACACAUGCAAGUCGAGGGGCAGCAUGAACUUAGCUUGCUAAGUUUGAUGGCGACCGGCGCACGGGUGAGUAACACGUAUCCAACCUUCCGUUUACUCAGGGAUAGCCUUUCGAAAGAAAGAUUAAUACCUGAUAGUAUGGUGAGAUUGCAUGAUAACACCAUUAAAGAUUUAUUGGUAAACGAUGGGGAUGCUCUCUAGUAGG
rnacentral:rRNA from 1 species